rnacentral:rRNA from 1 species
AUGCUCUCAGCGAUGCAUCGCCCUGGGUCUUCCUCCUCUCUUGUACUACCAUCUCUCGCUCACGACAGCCUCUGGCUAGCAGUGUUCACUCGUCGGAGCAGCACCCCCGGUAGCAGCGCCCAUCACCGGGGUGUCGAUUCUCGGUCACAACAAACCAACCAGAGCUGCCGGCGACCGCUGCAUCGCAGCACCAGAAGCCAUCCAGGUGCUGCUCAAAAAAUGGCAACGCCGACGGCGAUAAAAAAGCUUCAACGCAGCAGCUCCCAUGGCAGCACCGCGGGCAAGCACCGGCGGCGCCCGAUGGCACUCCAUUGCAGCCUCGGCGGCGCCCGGCAGUGCUCCAUUGCAAUCACAGCGGCGCUCCAUUGCAACCCCCGACGAGGUUCAACGACCUGUGCACGCUUCAUUGCAGCUCCAGCGUGCUUCAAUGCAGCUCCGGCAGAGCUUCAUUGCAGCCCCGGCAAAGCUCAACGACCCCACAUGACGCUCCAUUGCAGCCUCCAGCAGCACUCCAUUGCAGCCCGACGCACUUCACUGCAGCAUCACGAGCGGAGUGCGCCGCGUCGGACGCCGCUGUAG